AGUUGUAAAAUCAUGGAGAAAUUGGCAGAUGUAAAAAUCUUUGACUUUACAGGUGAUUCUUCUAAACCGUGACGGAACAGAUCAGUCCUACACAUACUUCCGGAGGACAGAAAAAAGGGAUGGACGACUCUCUCCUAUGCAUCGUACAAGGCAAGUGCUGACUUUGAAACCCAAACCAGGCAGGAAUUGGUAAAAGAAAGUAAAAUUAGAGGCCAACCUCACUCAUAAACACAGAGUAAAAAUGUUCAGCAAAGUAUUAAAGUGUGCUUAGAAGAUAUGUCUACAAGGCUGCAGGAAUUUCACAGUACGGCGUAGGUAUCUCUGACCGGCCCUCGCCACGGCACCAACCGGAUCACAGCAGGGUCCUCCUGAGGGUUUCCGGGAGGCGAACGGAAGGAGGACGGGGGACAGGAAGCGUGGAUGGUGUUUGUCUGAUUCAUCGCCGACAAAAGAUGGGGAUACUUGAGAUUUCGAACAUGGCAGUGCGGAUAAGUGGGGAAGGACAGUUACCGAUUAAAAGAUGAAACGACACCUCCCCCGACUUCACAUCAAACGUAACGCUCCGUUCCAGACGGAUUGACUGAAACAGAGAUGAAAAUGUCACCAAAGUAACCCCUAGCCCGGGUGAACUCACAAGGACUUUCUCCCGGCGCUCUUAGAGCCAACCACACUUCUCAUCAUAGCAUGAAUUACAGCCUUAAAACAUAGUUUGAAUGUGUGU
rnacentral:lncRNA from 1 species